rnacentral:sRNA from 1 species
GCUGGGUGUGGUGGUGCAUGCCUGUAAUCCCAGGGACUUGGGAGGCUGAGGCGCAUGGAUCCUGAAGUUUGAGGCUGGCUUUGGCGAUUUAGACCUUGUCUCUU